rnacentral:rRNA from 1 species
CAAUAGCGUAUAUUAAAGUUGUUGCGGUUAAAAAGUUCGUAGUUGGAUUUCUGCCAAGGACGACCGGUCCGCCCUCUGGGUGAGUAUCUGGCUUGGCCUGGGCAUCUUCUUGGAGAACGUUGCUGCACUUCACUGUGUGGUGCGGUAUCCAGGACCUUUACUUUGAGGAAAUUAGAGUGUUUCAAGCAGGCUUCCGCCUUGAAUACAUUAGCAUGGAAUAAUAAGAUAGGACCUCGGUUCUAUUUUGUUGGUUUCUAGAGCUGGGGUAAUGAUUAAUAGGGAUAGUUGGGGGCAUUCGUAUUUAACUGUCAGAGGUGAAAUUCUUGGAUUUGCUAAAGACGGACUACUGCGAAAGCAUUUGCCAAGGAUGUUUUCAUUGA